rnacentral:rRNA from 1 species
GAUGAACGCUGGCGGCGUGCUUAACACAUGCAAGUCGAACGGUGAAGCAGAGCUUGCUCUGUGGAUCAGUGGCGCACGGGUGAGUAACACAUGAGCAACCUGCCCCUGACUCUGGGAUAAGCGCUGGAAACGGCGGCUAAUACAGGGUAUGAGCUGCCACCGCGUGGUCAGCAGUUGGAAAGAUUUUUCGGUUGGGGAUGGGCCCACGGCCUAUCAGCUUGUUGGUGAGGUAAUGGCUCACCAAGGCGUCGACGGGUAGCCGGCCUGAGAGGGUGACCGGCCACACUGGGACUGAGACACGGCCCAGACUCCUACGGGAGGCAGCAGUGGGGAAUAUUGCACAAUGGGCGAAAGCCUGAUGCAGCAACGCCGCGUGAGGGAUGACGGCCUUCGGGUUGUAAACCUCUUUUAGCAGGGAAGAAGCGAAAGUGACGGUAACUGCAGAAAAAGCGCCGGCUAACUACGUG